GGCAGGAGCUCGAUAACGCGAUAUAUAGUUCGGUGAAGUCAGCUGACGCCAGGAUGCAAUCGGCCGUCGCUCGUGGAUUGUAAUGCGAUCGCUGCGUUAUCGCGUGAUACUGUAAGGAUCGUAUUCUCGGGGAAAAAAGCGCGCGUUCUUUCCUCUCGCGCGAUCCGUCAACCGAGUUGGGUACGCGAGGAACUUGUAUAAAUUUGGGUACUAAUUAGAGAGCAAAGGAAGUCAUCAUGCCGCUUAGUGCAGAUAUAUCUACGGCACUCCACCUGUUGGAGCAUGUGCAGGAACGGGUGGAGGAUUGCGACGAUCC